GGAAAGGGGGGGAGCACCGGUGCUCCCCUCUCGCCCUGAAAUGCCACCGUGCUUUUGGGAAGGUGGCUUGAGAAAGGAUGUCCCGGUGGGAUGUGCCCGGCGGGCAGCUCCCGGCUAUGGCCACGUGCCCCCCCAGCGGUGGCAACCGGGUGACCUGCAGAGUGACCGGUGGUGGCCGGGGAGAGGCGAGAUCCCCCUCGGCACCCUGCGGCUGCGACCGGGCCACGUGGCCACAACGCCUCUCGCACAAGCCUGACCGUGUCCCCUGGGCACUGUGGCCCUACCCGUGUCCUCGGGUGCCGCCGGCGCUCGCCGGCACAGAGGUUUGUGCCAGGCCAGUCCAGCCGUGCCACUCACCGGUGCCCCCGGGACCCGGUGCUGCCGGCUACGGCACGCGCAGGGCUCCUUGCCCGGCUGCCGGCUCUCGGUCAGGCAGCGCAGACCCGUCGGCUCUGCGCCGAAACCCGGCUCCGAGGAUGCACCUGAGCAAAGCGGUGGGAAACGGGGGUCCAGCCAGAGACCCUCUUCCCUCUCCCAGCCCCCUGGGCCAGGAAGAGGGUCUCUGGCAGGACCCCGCUGGGACGCCCAGCUCCCAUCUCACCCCACUGCUGCUGGUGGGUACCGGGGUGGUGGGGGGUCAGGGAACAGCAGGGCCAGAGAGGAGCCAGAGGGAGCAUCACUGUCAUCAAAUUUGCACAUCUCCCACCCGGGAGCAUCCCCAACCCCCUCCCAACCCCGCUGCAGAGGCGGGAGCCGGGGAUAACUGUUCCGGCUCCAGAAACUCCGCUGGCUCCCCAGGGACACCCCUGCAGGGCCAGGGCUGGGUGUGCAGCACCGGGGUUAUUUUGGGGUCCCAGCAGCCAAAUCCCCCCUGCUUCCCCCUGGGCAGGGUGAGACCUCGUGCGUGGUGCCGGUGCCGCUUCCCUGCCAACCCGGGCAGCUCCCUCUCGACCUCCCGGCCUGUCCCUCGGCGAGGAAAGGGGGAGCGGGAGAAAGUCCCCGGGCAGGGAGAGAGAGCCGAGGAGGGCACAAAGUCACCCUCCGUGCCCAGGCCCCGGGCAGGAGCG
rnacentral:lncRNA from 1 species